UACGUAGGGUGCAAGCGUUAAUCGGAAUUACUGGGCGUAAAGCGUGCGCAGGCGGCUAUGCAAGACAGAUGUGAAAUCCCCGGGCUCAACCUGGGAACUGCAUUUGUGACUGCAUAGCUAGAGUACGGUAGAGGGGGAUGGAAAUUCCGCGUGUAGCAGUGAAAUGCGUAGAUAUGGCGGAGGAACACCGAUGGCGAAGGCAAUCCCCUGGACCUGUAC
rnacentral:rRNA from 1 species